rnacentral:rRNA from 1 species
CCUACGGGAGGCAGCAGUGGGGAAUAUUGGGCAAUGGGCGCAAGCCUGACCCAGCAACGCCGCGUGAAGGAAGAAGGCUUUCGGGUUGUAAACUUCUUUUAUCAGGGACGAAGCAAGUGACGGUACCUUAUGAAUAAGCCACGGCUAACUACGUGCCAGCAGCCGCGGUAAUACGUAGGUGGCAAGCGUUAUCCGGAUUUACUGGGUGUAAAGGGCGCGUAGGCGGGAGUGCAAGUCAGAUGUGAAAACUAUGGGCUCAACCCAGGGACUGCUUUUGAAACUGUUCUUCUUGAGUGCUGGAGAGGCAAUCGGAAUUCCGAGUGUAGCGGUGGAAUGCGUAGAUAUUAGGAGGAACACCAGUGGCGAAGGCGGAUUGCUGGACAGUAACUGACGCUGAGGCGCGAAAGCGUGGGGAGCAAACAGGAUUAGAUACCCUUGUAGUC